UCUCUCUUUCUUUCAACCUACACAUCUGGCCAUCACCAUGGAGAGAGGCCAUGAUUUGCUUACAAAGAGUGCGUAGCCAAUCAGACGAGCCAUAGGAUCCCUAUUCUCAAGCUUCAACCAAUGUGCGUAGCGGUGAUAUUUGCAUACAGGGGGCUUGACCAAUCCCUUGUCACUACAGGAGCUGGGUUUUGCGUGUUCUGGCCAAUGGGCGUGCGGGAUGCAGAGAUAAAGGUCUGCAUAUGAUUACCAUGUGGUUAUAGAAGGUGUUUAGUAUCGAUCCAGUAUCUGCUGGGUAGGUUACUUCUAAACUCGCGCUGUGGACCUGCAGGGUGGACUAUCUGAUCCUUUGUGACGGGAAUAGUAUCUCUGUAACAACAUGCCUAAAAGGAAGUCUGCCGAAGGGGCCGGUACCAAGGACGCCUCGAAAGUGACUAAGCAGGAGGUCGCUAAGCAGGAGGUCGCUAAGCAGGAGGUCGCUAAGCAGGAGGUCGCUAAGCAGGAGCCCACCAGACGGUCAGAGAGGUUGUCAUCGAAACCAGCUCCUCCCAAACCGGUUGAGGUCAAGCCUAAGAAGGCUAUCGCCAAGCCGGUGGACAAGGACGUGAAGGGAAAGAAAGGAGGAGCUAAGGUGAAGAGGGAAGAUGGCCCCUCCCAUAACCGACAGACCAUGACAGAGGAGACUGAUGCCGUGGGGGCGGGGUCUGACGAGGAGAAGGAAUGAGGAAAUUGGGGGUGUGUCUUUCUCUGACUUCUCCCAAACCGGUACCAUGGAAACGAAGAAAGGAUCUUUUUUUACGAGGAUUUUGUAAAAUGCAGAAUUGUUUUUUUUGGGGGGGGUCCUGUGAUAUUAACGAAGAUAAACUUAAUACCCCACGUCCACACUCCUUGCAGUUCUAUCACUCUCUCUCUCUCUCUCUCUCUCUCUCUCUCUCUCUCUCUCUCUCUCUCUCUCUCUCUCUCUCUCUCUCUCUCUCUCUCUCUCUCUCUCUCUCUCUCUCUCUCUCUCUCUCUCUCUCUCUGUCUCUCUCUCUGUCUCUCUCUCUCUCUGUCUCUCUCUCUCUCUCUCUCUCUCUCUCUCUCUCUCUCUCUCUCUCUCUCUCUCUCUCUCUCUCUCUCUCUCUCUGUCUCUCUCUCUCUCUCUCUCUCUCUCUCUCUCUCUCUCUCUCUCUCUCUCUCUCUCUCUCUCUCUCUCUCUCUCUCUCUCUCUCUCUGUCUCUCUCUCUCUCUCUGUCUCUCUCUCUCUCUCUGUCUCUCUCUCUCUCUCUGUCUCUCUCUCUCUCUCUCUCUCUCUCUCUCUCUCUCUCUCUCUCUCUCUCUCUCUCUGUCUCUCUCUCUGUCUCUCUCUCUGUCUCUCUCCCUCUCUCUCUCUCUCUCUCUCUCUCUCUCUCUCUCUCUCUCUCUCUCCCUCUCUUUCUCCUCUUCCUUUUCUUGAAAGACAGAAUAAAGUGACAUGUUUAAAAAAAAUAAAAAAUGUCUGCAACUAUUCUUCCUCUGGCAGUGGGAGGAGCCUUCACAGGGUCACCACGGUCAUGCGUCUCACGUCCUUUCUAAAUUAUGAUGUCAUAUCCUCUCUGCUACGAUAGCUCUUUUUGAUGACAUCACUGUAAAUUAAUUCGAUCUCCCACCUAUGACAUCAGAGACCCGGGGGUCAAACGAGGCUCCUAUGACAUCACAGGGGACCUUUGAACCUGACCUGAGGCGUUGCCACGGAGAAUAUUUGCGGCUUUUUUAAUAAGCAGACGUAGAAAAGUUUGAGAAUUGUCACUCCUGUGUUUGAAACUGUGGCAUAGCAAUAACAAGUGGUGUUUCUGUUCUGGAACGCUGUGGCUUCCAGACAGAGUUCCAGCCUGCCUGGGGGAAAAACAUUAUUUUGAAAUAAAAGCUGAAAGUUGAGGUCUUG
rnacentral:lncRNA from 1 species